rnacentral:lncRNA from 1 species
CGCCUGCUGCGAUUGCUUUUUUGUUUACGUGGGUGUCGGGUUUCUUUUUAAUUUUUCCUGAUGUUUAAUUUUUGUCAGUACAAGUAGUUUUGCAACUGUCGAAUUAAUUAUUCUUCUGCUUCUCCUGUCGCGCUUCACGGUAGUUUUUGUGUGAUUGUUGUUUGUGUCUGAAAAUCCGGGUAAUGAAGGAGCAAAUCCGGACAAAUGCGAUCACGUUGUAACCGUUGUUAAGAGGAACCUGAGCCUCAAGUCGCAUCUUAUCAGCAGUGGUAUCUGUGGGGGAGUUCCAAAUCAGCGUGGGCAAAAACAUUCUGGAGUCAGAAUCGGCUGGCUGGCUGUUUUGGUGUUGCUGUCGCUACCAGGUUUCACCGCGGCUCAGCUGGUAACCUCAAAUGUUCUGUAAAUCCUGCCUCAACAGUCAACCGUCGCCAUCUGGACGUAUUAUAUUCAAUCCGUUUCAUUUGAAACCGGCUAUAGUCGCGUUCCGGCGAACGGCCAACGUGUACGUGGCUGAUAACUCUGCUGCUCGAGGCUGUGGUCUAGGGAAAAGCUGGAGUUAUUGAUAACGCACAGCGCUGAAGCUUCCAAAACCGCAACGAAUCAUCUGGAUUAAGAUCAGACGACUAGGUCGUGUCGAUCUACUGCUGGACGCCGUAACUUGGUCUGCCAUUUAGUUGCUAUUGUCAGGUCAUCCGACGUUACAUGGCGGCUCCGAAGUGUUGCACUCUGUUAUGCUCGUUGCUUCUCGCCCACGACGCCGAUCCAUUUGUCGGGGACCUCAAAUACUUGCAGCAAUGACUACACUACUCAGUUGGUUUUAGUUCCACAGUUGCAGCUCUCGGUUUGAUGUUGACAAUAGUCCAAGGUUCUGAUUCAAGCAAAGCCGGCGUGGGAUUGCAUGCUUCAGCUGGUCAUCUGUGACCGCCUCUCGCACAAGUCUGUAAUUGGAGCAUUUCAUUGGACCACCUGGAGUGCAAACAGAUCAUGAUGGACAUCCUCGCCCAAAUGGGGUACGCACAUCUGCAACAGGUGGACGUGUCGGCUGAAGGCUUUCGUAUCAACUUAAUUCCAACAUUGUUUUCAUAAAUGUAAGCAAUCAAUGUUAUUUAUUUCUUUUAAAAUCCCGCAGAGCUAAAAUCACAAUCUACAUUCUCAGUGAGCCAGCA